rnacentral:rRNA from 1 species
CUACGGGCGGCUGCAGUGAGGAAUAUUGCACAAUGGGGGGAACCCUGAUGCAGCAACGCCGCGUGGAGGAUGACGCAUUUCGGUGUGUAAACUCCUUUUAUAUGUCAAGAAAAUGACGGUAGCAUAUGAAUAAGCACCGGCUAACUCCGUGCCAGCAGCCACGGUAAUACGGAGGGUGCAAGCGUUACUCGGAAUCACGGGGCGUAAAGGACGCGUAGGCGGGUUGGAAAGUCAGGUGUGAAAUCCUACAGCUUAACUGUAGAACUGCACUUGAAACUUCUAAUCUAGAGUAUGGGAGGGGGAGAUGGAAUUAGUGGUGUAGGGGUAAAAUCCGUAGAUAUCACUAGGAAUACCUAAAGCGAAGGCGAUCUCCUGGAACAUUACUGACGCUAAGGCGUGAAAGCGUGGGGAGCAAACAGGAUUAGAUACCCCCGUAGUC